rnacentral:rRNA from 1 species
GACGAACGCUGGCGGCGUGCUUAACACAUGCCAGUCGAACGGAAAGGCCUUUUCGGAGGUACUCGAGUGGCGAACGGGUGAGUAACACGUGGGUGAUCUGCCCUGCACUCUGGGAUAAGCCUGGGAAACUGGGUCUAAUACCGGAUAGGACCGCACUUUAGUGUGUGUGGUGGUAAGCUUUUUCGGUGUAGGAUGAGCCCGCGGCCUAUCAGCUUGUUGGUGGGGUAAUGGACUACCAAGGCGACGACGGGUAGCGGGACGGAGAGGUUGGUCGGAAACACUAGGACUGAGAUAAGGCCCAGACACCUGCAGGAGGAAGGAGCGGGGAAUAUUGCACCAUGGGCGCAAGGCGGAUGCAGAGACGCCGCGGGGGGGAUGACGCCCUUCGGGUUGUAAACUCACUUCGCAAGGGACGAAGCGUUUUGUGACGGUACCUGGAGAAGAAGCACCGGCUAACUACGUG